AACGAACGCUGGCGGCAUGCCUAACACAUGCAAGUCGAACGAUGCCUUCGGGCAUAGUGGCGCACGGGUGCGGAACGCGAGGGAAUAUGCCUUUCGGGUCGGAAUAACUCAGGGAAACGUGAGAUAAUACCGGAUAACGUCGCAAGACCAAAGAUUUAUCACCGAAAGAUGAGCCCGCGUAGGAUUAGCUAGUUGGUGAGGUAAUGGCUCAACAAGGCGACGAUCCUUAGCUGGUCUGAGAGGAAGAUCAGCCACACUGGGACUGAGACACGGCCCAGACUCCUACGGGAGGCAGCAGUGGGGAAUAUUGGACAGUGGGCGAAAGCCUGAUCCAGCACUGCCGCGUGAGUGCUGAAGGCCGGAGAGUUGUAAAGCUCUUUUAACCGGGAAGAUAAUGACGGUACCGGGAGAAUAAGCCCCGGCUAACUACGUG
rnacentral:rRNA from 1 species